rfam:Sphingomonas taxi strain ATCC 55669, complete genome.
GGGACGGGCCUUUCAGGCAUCCUCUCCUAAAACUUUCACGGGCCGGCCCUUCGGGGCUGGCCCUUUUUUUGGGUCGGC